rnacentral:tRNA from 1 species
AGCCCUAUGGUGUAGUGGUCAAGCACGAGAGCCUUUGGAGCUCUAGACCUAGGUUCAAAUCCUGGUAGGGCUA